UGGUAAAGUUCAGGGUUAAUGGAUUUGGCCACAUUGGGCACCUGGUUACCAGAGCUGCCUUCUCAUCUGCAUCUGAAAGGUGGAGAUUAUUGCCAUCAAUGACCACAUCACCAACCUCAACUACAUGGUCUACAUGUUCCAGUAUGACUCUAUUCAUGGCAAAUUCAACAAUACAGUCAAGACUUGAGAUUGGAGAGCUUGUCAUGCAUGGGAAUCCCAUUACCAUCUUUCAUGAAUGAGGUCUACUAACAUCAAAUGGGGGGAUGCUGAUGCUGAGCAUAUUGUGGAGUCUAUUGGCAUCUUCCCCACCAUGGAGAAGGCAAGAGCCCACUAAUAUGGUGGGGCCAAAAGGGUCAUCAUAGCUGGCCUUAAUUCGAGGGCAGCAGUUCUUCCAAGAUUGUCAGAAAAACUUCCUAAACCACCACCUGCUUAGCACCCCUGGCCAAGGUCAUCCAUGACAACUUUGGCAUCCUUGAAGGACUCAUAGCCACAGUUCAUGCCAUCACUGUCACUCAGAAGACUGUGGAUGGCUCCUCUGGAAAAGUAUGGAGUUGUGGCCGUGGGGCUGCCUAGAACAUCAAGCCUGCAUCCACUAGUGUUGCCAGUGCUGUGAGCAAGGUCAUGCCAGAACUGAACAUGAAGGUCACUGCCAUGGCCUUCCAUGUUCCUACCCCUAAUCAUGGAUCUGAUAUGCCGCCUAGAGAAACCUGCUAAAUAUGAUGACAUCAAGAAGGUGGUGAAAUGCAUCGAAGGGCCCAAUAAAUGACAUCCUGGGCUAUAAUGAGGACCAGAUUGUCUCCUGUGACUUCAACAGUAACUUUCACUCCUCCACCUUUGAUGCUGUGGCUGGCAUUGCUCUCAAUGACAACUUUGUAAAGCUCAUAUCCUGGUAUGACAGUGAAUAUGCUAUAGCAACAGAGUGGUGGACCUCAUGGCCUACUUGGCUUCCAAGGAGUCA
rnacentral:lncRNA from 1 species